GGGGUGCUCGAGUGGCGAACGGGUGAGUAACACGUGAGUAACCUGCCCUUGACUUUGGGAUAACUUCAGGAAACUGGGGCUAAUACCGGAUAGGAGCUCCUGCUGCAUGGUGGAGGUUGGAAAGUUUCGGCGGUUGGGGAUGGACUCGCGGCUUAUCAGCUUGUUGGUGGGGUAGUGGCUUACCAAGGCCUUGACGGGUAGCCGGCCUGAGAGGGUGACCGGCCACAUUGGGACUGAGAUACGGCCCAG
rnacentral:rRNA from 1 species